UACGUAGGGGGCUAGCGUUGCUCGGAAUCACUGGGCGUAAAGCGCACGUAGGCGGCUUUCUAAGUCAGGGGUGAAAUCCUGGAGCUCAACUCCAGAACUGCCCUUGAUACUGGAGAGCUUGAGUUCGGGAGAGGUGAGUGGAACUGCGAGUGUAGAGGUGAAAUUCGUAGAUAUUCGCAAGAACACCAGUGGCGAAGGCGGCUCGCUGGCCCGAUACUGACGCUGAGGUGCGAAAGCGUGGGGAGCAAACAGG
rnacentral:rRNA from 1 species